AUCGCUUCUCGGCCUUUUGGCUAAGAUCAAGUGCAGUAAAAUAAUGACCAAAAAAUUCUGUGUGUGUGCAAAUACAGACAUGUGUAUAUCUUUAUCUGUAAGAUUUUAUGACUAUGAAAAAAAUUU
ensembl:snRNA U2 U2 spliceosomal RNA